AAGGAGUUAGUUAACAAAUAACAUUAGCAUGUCAAACUAAAAUAAUUGGUAUUCCAAUACACCUUG
rnacentral:tRNA from 1 species